rnacentral:tRNA from 1 species
UGGCUCAGUGGUUGAGAGCACUGGCUCUUCCAGAGGACCUGGGUUCAAUUCCCAG